GACGAACGCUGGCGGCGUGCCUAAUACAUGCAAGUAGAACGCUGAAGGAGGAGCUUGCUUCUCCGGAUGAGUUGCGAACGGGUGAGUAACGCGUAGGUAACCUGCCUGGUAGCGGGGGAUAACUAUUGGAAACGAUAGCUAAUACCGCAUAACAGUAGAUGUUGCAUGACAUUUGCUUAAAAGGUGCAAUUGCAUCACUACCAGAUGGACCUGCGUUGUAUUAGCUUGUUGGUGAGGUAACGGCUCACCAAGGCGACGAUACAUAGCCGACCUGAGAGGGGUGUCGGCCAAAAUGGGACUGAGACACGGCCCAGACUCCUACGGGAGGCAGCCGUAGGGAAUCUUCGGCAAUGGACGGAAGUCUGACCGAGCAACGCCGCGUGAGUGAAGAAGGGUUUCGGAUCGUAAAGCUCUGUUGUAAGAGAAGAACGAGUGUGAGAGUGGAAAGUUCACACUGUGACGGUAUCUUACCAGAAAGGGACGGCUAACUACGUG
rnacentral:rRNA from 1 species